GGGAUUAGAUACCCCACUAUGCUUAGCCUUAAACCUAGAUGUUAGAUUUACAAGCAACAUCCGCCAGGGUACUACAAGCGCUAGCUUAAAACCCAAAGGACUUGACGGUGUCUCAGACCCACCUAGAGGAGCCUGUUCUAGAACCGAUAAUCCCCGUUAAACCUCACCACCCCUUGUUUUCUCCGCCUAUAUACCGCCGUCGCAAGCUUACCCUGUGAAGGUCCUAUAGUAAGCAAAAUGGGUAUAUCCCAAAACGUCAGGUCGAGGUGUAGCUUACGAGGUGGGAAGAAAUGGGCUACAUUUUCUAUAUCAGAAUAGUACGAACGGCAUCAUGAAAUUUAAUGCCCGAAGGUGGAUUUAGUAGUAAAAAAUAAAUAGAGAGUCUUUUUGAACCAGGCUCUGAGACGCGCACACACCGCCCC
rnacentral:rRNA from 1 species